rnacentral:rRNA from 1 species
AACGAACGCUGGCGGCAGGCCUAACACAUGCAAGUCGAGCGAGCACUUCGGUUCUAGCGGCGGACGCGUGAGUAACGCGUGGUAACGUGCCCUUUGCUUCGGAAUAGCCCUUGGAAACUGGUAGUAAUACCGGUUGAGCCCCCUGGGGGAAAGAUCUAUCGACGAAGGAUCGGCCGGCGGUGGAUUAGGUCGUUGGUGGGGUAAUGGCCCACCAAGCCGACGAUCCAUAGCUGCUGUGAGAGGAUGAUCAGCCACACGGGGACUGAGACACGGCCCAGACUCCUACGGGAGGCCGAAGUGGGGAAUCCUAGACAAUCGGGGCAACCGUGUUCUAGCAAUGUGACGUGAGCGAUGAAGGGCUUAGGGUUGGAAAGCUCUUCAAGCUGGGAAGAUAAUGCCGGUACCCGGAGAAGAAGCCGCGGCUAACUCCGUG